rnacentral:rRNA from 1 species
UGGGCGUAAGCCUGAACCAGCCAAGUCGCGUGAGGGAUGAAGGAUCUAUGGUUCGUAAACCUCUUUUAUAAGGGAAUAAAGUGCGGGACGUGUCCUGUUUUGUAUGUACCUUAUGAAUAAGGAUCGGCUAACUCCGUGCCAGCAGCCGCGGUAAUACGGAGGAUCCGAGCGUUAUCCGGAUUUAUUGGGUUUAAAGGGUGCGUAGGCGGCCUUUUAAGUCAGCGGUGAAAGUCUGUGGCUCAACCAUAGAAUUGCCGUUGAAACUGGGGGGCUUGAGUAUGUUUGAGGCAGGCGGAAUGCGUGGUGUAGCGGUGAAAUGCAUAGAUAUCACGCAGAACCCCGAUUGCGAAGGCAGCCUGCCAAGCCAUGACUGACGCUGAUGCACGAAAGCGUGGGGAUCGAACAGGAUUAGAUACCCUGGUAGUCCACGCAGUAAACGAUGAUCACUAGCUGUUUGCGAUACACGGUAAGCGGCACAGCGAAAGCGUUAAGUGAUCCACCUGGGGAGUACGCCGGCAACGGUGAAACUCAAAGGAAUUGACGGGGG